rnacentral:rRNA from 1 species
GCUUGCUCCCUGAUGUUAGCGGCGGACGGGUGAGUAACACGUGGGUAACCUGCCUGUAAGACUGGGAUAACUCCGGGAAACCGGGGCUAAUACCGGAUGGUUGUUUGAACCGCAUGGUUCAGACAUAAAAGGUGGCUUCGGCUACCACUUACAGAUGGACCCGCGGCGCAUUAGCUAGUUGGUGAGGUAACGGCUCACCAAGGCGACGAUGCGUAGCCGACCUGAGAGGGUGAUCGGCCACACUGGGACUGAGACACGGCCCAGACUCCUACGGGAGGCAGCAGUAGGGAAUCUUCCGCAAUGGACGAAAGUCUGACGGAGCAACGCCGCGUGAGUGAUGAAGGUUUUCGGAUCGUAAAGCUCUGUUGUUAGGGAAGAACAAGUGCCGUUCAAAUAGGGCGGCACCUUGACGGUACCUAACCAGAAAGCCACGGCUAACUACGUGCCAGCAGCCGCGGUAAUACGUAGGUGGCAAGCGUUGUCCGGAAUUAUUGGGCGUAAAGGGCUCGCAGGCGGUUUCUUAAGUCUGAUGUGAAAGCCCCCGGCUCAACCGGGGAGGGUCAUUGGAAACUGGGGAACUUGAGUGCAGAAGAGGAGAGUGGAAUUCCACGUGUAGCGGUGAAAUGCGUAGAGAUGUGGAGGAACACCAGUGGCGAAGGCGACUCUCUGGUCUGUAACUGACGCUGAGGAGCGAAAGCGUGGGGAGCGAACAGGAUUAGAUACCCUGGUAGUCCACGCCGUAAACGAUGAGUGCUAAGGGGUUAGGGGGUUUCCGCCCCUUAGUGCUGCAGCUAACGCAUAAGCACUCCGCCUGGGGGAGUACGGUCGCAGACUGAACUCAAAGGAAAUUGACGGGG